rnacentral:lncRNA from 1 species
UUCAUCAUUAUUGACCUAUGAUUUAAAAGGUUCGCAACACAUGUUCUCAUCCAAUAUCUAAACUAAACUAAAAUUAUUUCAGAAUCAUAUGAAAUGAAAAAAAUAUAUAUUUUCAACAAUCCAAAUCACAAUUCAACAAAACUACGUCAGCAAAUCAUGUCCAAAGUUUCAGGAGCCCUAAUAUAAACUCUCAUUUUCUUAAUAUUUGACGCUUGUCUGUCAUUGCUGAACGAAUCGCCAAUCGCCUUUGCAUGUUAAUCUACUAAUCUCUACAUGAAUAGUCUCUUUCUCUCUUCUCUUUCGGUAAGUCUUAGAUUCUUAUUCAAGUCAUUUUUUCAUUAUUUUUUCUUUUAUUUGUUUUUUUUGAACUUAUUAUACACUUUUUAGUUGUGGUUUGAAUAGAAAAAUGAUUGUUUGUGUGCCUAGAUGAUUAAUGAACUUGUUCAUGAUUUGAAAAAAACGAAGGACGAAGUGUAUUGAUUGUGUGAUAUGUUAAAGUUCUCUAACUAGUGCUACUGCCUUCUACUUUCAUAAAGUAGUUAGAGAAUGAAAUUCAUUAAUUCCCAAUAAGUCGAAAUUCUAUCAAUCUUUGUACAUCUAAACAUAUCAUGUUCAAUCCUUAUUUAACAUCUUACCA